AGUGAACGCUGGCGGCGUGCCUAAUACAUGCAAGUCGAACGGAGUGGCGCACGGGUGAGUAAUGUAUAGCUAAUCUGCCCUCCACUAGAGGACAACAGUUGGAAACGGCUGCUACUACUCUAUAGUGUAGGUUGAGGCUAUAUUGUAUCAGCUAGUUGGUGAGGUAAUGGCUCACCAAGGCUAUGACGCAUAACUGGUCUGAGAGGAUGAUCAGUCACAACGGAACUGAGGCACGGUCGAGACUCCGACGGGAGGGAGCAGGAGGGAAUAGUGCCCAAUGGGGGUAGCCCGGAAGCAGCAACGGCGCGUGGAGGAUGACACUUGUCGGAGAGUAAACUCCGUUUGUUAGGGAAGCGGUACCUAACGAAUAAGCACCGGCUAACUCCGUGCCAGCCGCCGCGGUAAUAC
rnacentral:rRNA from 1 species